AGAGUUUGAUCAUGGCUCAGGACGAACGCUGGCGGCGUGCCUAAUGCAUGCAAGUCGCACGGGCACCCUUCGGGGUGUUAGUGGCGAACGGCUGAGGAACACGUACGAAUCUACCCCGGUGUGGGGGACAACUCGGCGAAAGCCGAGCUAAUCCCGCAUACGCUCGCAAGAGGAAAGCCGCAAGGCGCACCGGAAUGAGCGUGCGGCCCAUCAGGUAGUUGGCGGGGUAACGGCCCACCAAGGCGACGAUGGCUAGGGGAGCUGAGAGGCUGGUCCCCCACACGGGCACUGAGAUACGGGCCCGACUCCUACGGGAGGCAGCAGUAGGGAAUAUUGGGCAAUGGCCGAGAGGCUGACCCAGCCAUGCCGCGUGCAGGAUGAAGGCUUUCUGAGUCGUAAACUGCUUUUGCCAGGGAAGAAUAAGGGGGAUGCGUCCUCCGACGACGGUACCUGGUGAAUAAGCACCGGCUAACUCCGUGCCAGCAGCCGCGGUAAUACGGAGGGUGCAAGCGUUGUCCGGAUUUAUUGGGUUUAAAGGGUGCGUAGGCGGUUCUUUAAGUCUGGGGUGAAAGCCCGUUGCUCAACAACGGAACUGCCCUGGAAACUGGAGAACUUGAGUACAGACGAGGGUGGCGGAAUGGAUGGUGUAGCGGUGAGAUGCAUAGAUACCAUCCAGAACCCCGAUUGCGAAGGCAGCUGCCUAGACUGUAACUGACGCUGAGGCACGAAAGCGUGGGGAGCGAACAGGAUUAGAUACCCCGGUAGUCC
rnacentral:rRNA from 1 species